rnacentral:rRNA from 2 species
UGGGGAAUUUUGCACAAUGGGGGAAACCCUGAUGCAGCGACGCCGCGUGAUUUAGAAGGCCUUCGGGUUGUAAAAAUCUUUUCUAUGGGAAGAAAAUGACAGUACCAUAGGAAUAAGGACCGGCUAAUUACGUGCCAGCAGCCGCGGUAAUACGUAAGGUCCGAGCGUUGUCCGGAAUCAUUGGGCGUAAAGGGUACGUAGGCGGGUAAGCAAGUUAGAAGUGAAAUCCUAUAGCUCAACUAUAGUAAGCUUUUAAAACUGCUCAUCUUGAGGUAUGGAAGGGAAAGUGGAAUUCCUAGUGUAACGGUGAAAUGCGCAGAUAUUAGGAGGAAUACCGGUGGCGAAGGCGACUUUCUGGCCAUAACCUGACGCUGAGGUACGAAAGCGUGGGUAGCAAACAGG